rnacentral:rRNA from 1 species
GGUUAAGUUAACAAGGGCGCAUGGUGAAUGCCUUGGCACUAGGAGCCGAUGAAGGACGGGACUAACACCGAUAUGCUUCGGGGAGCUGUACGUAAGCUAUGAUCCGGAGAUUUCCGAAUGGGGCAACCCAGCAGUUUUAAUCAACUGUUACCACUAGAUGAAUUCAUAGUCUAGUUGGAGGUAAACGCUGUGAACUGAAACAUCUCAUUAGCAGCAGGAAUAUAAAGAAAUUUCGAUUCCCUAAGUAGCGGCGAGCGAACGGGGAACAGCCCAAACCAAAGUGCUUGCACUUUGGGGUUGUAGGACUGAACAUUUGAGUUACCAAAGAACUUGAUAGUCGAAGGAUUUGGGAAAAUCCGCCAUAGAUGGUGAUAGCCCAGUAGAUUAAAUCAAAUUCUCUCAGUUCAGGAUCCUGAGUACGGCGGAACACGUGAAAUUCCGUCGGAAUCCGGGAGGACCAUCUCCCAAGGCUAAAUACUACCUAGUGACCGAUAGUGAACCAGUACCGUGAGGGAAAGGUGAAAAGCACCCCGGGAGGGGAGUGAAAUAGUUCCUGAAACCAUGUGCCUACAAUAAGUCAGAGCGCGUUAAUGCGUGAUGGCGUGCCUUUUGUAGAAUGAACCGGCGAGUUAUGAUCCCGUGCAAGGUUAAGACUAAAAAGUCGGAGCCGUAGCGAAAGCGAGUCUGAAAUGGGCGAUUUGAGUACGAGGUUAUAGACCCGAAACCAGGUGACCUAUCCAUGUCCAGGUUGAAGGUGCGGUAAAACGCACUGGAGGACCGAACCCGUGUAAGUUGAAAAUUGCUGGGAUGAGGUGUGGAUAGCGGUGAAAUUCCAAACGAACUUGGAGAUAGCUGGUUCUCUCCGAAAUAGCUUUAGGGCUAGCCUCGGAUUAAGGAUCAUGGAGGUAGAGCACUAUUUGGACUAGGGGCCCGUCUUGGGUUACUGAAUUCAGAUAAACUCCGAAUGCCAUUGAUUCAUGUCCGGGAGUCAGACGAUGAGUGAUAAGAUCCACCGUCGAAAGGGGAACAGCCCAGACCAUCAGUUAAGGUCCCUAAAUGUAUGCUAAGUGGAAAAGGAUGUGGAGUUGCAUAGACAACUAGGAUGUUGGCUCAGAAGCAGCCACCAUUUAAAGAGUGCGUAAUAGCUCACUAGUCGAGUGAUCCUGCGCCGAAAAUGUACCGGGGCUAAGCAUACUACCGAAACCAUGGAUGCGACCAUUAGGUCGCGUGAUAGGAGAGCGUUCUAAGGGCGGUGAAGCAAGAUCGUGAGGACUUGUGGAGCGCUUAGAAGUGAGAAUGCCGGUAUGAGUAGCGAAAGAUAGGUGAGAAUCCUAUCCACCGAAUGACUAAGGUUUCCUGGGGAAGGCUCGUCCUCCCAGGGUUAGUCGGGACCUAAGUCGAGGCCGAGAGGCGUAGACGAUGGAUAACAGGUUGAGAUUCCUGUACUAGUUAAGUGCGUUUGAGCAAUGGAGGGACGCAGGAGGCUAAGAUGUGCAUUCUGUUGGAUUAGAAUGUCCAAGCAGUAAGUCUUGUGGAGAGUCAAAUGCUUUUCACUUUAAGGACAAGCUGUGAUGGGGAGCGAAAUUUAGUAGCGAAGCGUCUGAUGUCACACUGCCGAGAAAAGCUUCUAGUGAGUACUUAACUACCCGUACCGCAAACCGACACAGGUAGUCGAGGAGAGAAUCCUAAGGUGAGCGAGUGAACUCUCGUUAAGGAACUCGGCAAAAUGACCCCGUAACUUCGGGAGAAGGGGUGCUGAUCGCAAGAUCAGCCGCAGUGAAUAGGCCCAGGCGACUGUUUAUCAAAAACACAGGUCUCUGCAAAAUCGUAAGAUGACGUAUAGGGGCUGACGCCUGCCCGGUGCUGGAAGGUUAAAAGGAUGGGUUAGCUUCGGCGAAGCUCAGAAUUGAAGCCCCAGUAAACGGCGGCCGUAACUAUAACGGUCCUAAGGUAGCGAAAUUCCUUGUCGGGUAAGUUCCGACCCGCACGAAAGGCGUAACGAUCUGGGCACUGUCUCAACGAGAGACUCGGUGAAAUUAUAUUGUCCGUGAAGAUGCGGACUACCCGCGACAGGACGGAAAGACCCCAUGGAGCUUUACUGUAGCUUGAUAUUGAGUGUUUGUACAGCUUGUACAGGAUAGGUAGGAGCCAUAGAAACCGGAACGCUAGUUUCGGUGGAGGCGUUGGUGGGAUACUACCCUCGCUGUAUGACCACUCUAACCCGCACCACUAAUCGUGGUGGGAGACAGUGUCAGGUGGGCAGUUUGACUGGGGCGGUCGCCUCCUAAAAAGUAACGGAGGCGCCCAAAGGUUCCCUCAGAAUGGUUGGAAAUCAUUCGCAGAGUGUAAAGGCACAAGGGAGCUUGACUGCGAGACAGACAGGUCGAGCAGGGACGAAAGUCGGGCUUAGUGAUCCGGUGGUACCGUAUGGAAGGGCCAUCGCUCAACGGAUAAAAGCUACCCUGGGGAUAACAGGCUUAUCUCCCCCAAGAGUCCACAUCGACGGGGAGGUUUGGCACCUCGAUGUCGGCUCAUCGCAUCCUGGGGCUGUAGUCGGUCCCAAGGGUUGGGCUGUUCGCCCAUUAAAGCGGUACGCGAGCUGGGUUCAGAACGUCGUGAGACAGUUCGGUCCCUAUCCGUCGCGGGCGUAGGAAAUUUGAGAGGACCUGUCCUUAGUACGAGAGGACCGGGAUGGACAUACCUCUGGUGUACCAGUUGUGCCGCCAGGCGCAUCGCUGGGUAGCUACGUAUGGAUGUGAUAAACGCUGAAAGCAUCUAAGUGUGAAAAACACACCUCGAGAUGAGAUUUUCCAUUCCUUUAUGGAAGUAAGACCCCUGAAAGAUGAUCAGGUAGAUAGGUUAGAAGUGGCAGUGCGGCGACGCAUGAAGCGGACUAAUACUAAUCGGUCGAGGACUUAACCAA